CCUACGGGGGGCUGCAGUGGGGAAUAUUGGACAAUGGGCGAAAGCCUGAUCCAGCCAUGCCGCGUGUGUGAAGAAGGCCUUCGGGUUGUAAAGCACUUUCAGUGGGGAAGAAAGCCUUGGGGCUAAUACCCUCGAGGAAGGACAUCACCCACAGAAGAAGCACCGGCUAACUCCGUGCCAGCAGCCGCGGUAAUACGGAGGGUGCGAGCGUUAAUCGGAAUUACUGGGCGUAAAGCGCGCGUAGGCGGUCUGAUAAGCCGGUUGUGAAAGCCCCGGGCUCAACCUGGGGACGGCAUCCGGAACUGUCAGGCUAGAGUGCAGGAGAGGAAGGUAGAAUUCCCGGUGUAGCGGUGAAAUGCGUAGAGAUCGGGAGGAAUACCAGUGGCGAAGGCGGCCUUCUGGACUGACACUGACGCUGAGGUGCGAAAGCGUGGGUAGCAAACAGGAUUAGAUACCCCAGUAGUC
rnacentral:rRNA from 1 species